rnacentral:lncRNA from 1 species
UAGCUUGUAAAAGCAAAUGCAAUUGGGUGGGAUAAAGAGUUGUAGUCCUCGUCCCCGUAUCCGUAUUCUGGUGCCAUGUGCACCUUGCCACUCGCCCCAUCGUGUGCCCCGCAGGGCUAUGUAUAGUCUUGCAACACCAGCUUCCCUGGCUCGAUGAAGUUCCAGUAAGAUUGCUUCUCAAAGCAAAUG